CCAAACCCUAACCUUAGCCGCCAGAGCCCCUUGCCGAAGACGACAGCACAGCCGCCGGGGAGCCGACCGCCGCCACCCGCCGCCGUACCGGAGCAAUUUUCGGCCGCCAAAUGAGGUUGACCGGAGCAAAAAAUCCAACCGCAACGUGAGCCGGAGGAGCCGCUGCACCAGAGAGCCCAACCGCCGGUGAGUUUCGGUUUUCUACGUUUUUCAGGCCCACCGAGGGCCCUAAGUGUGUUUUCUCACAAGAACUGAUGCAAGUUUCGCUGAAUUCGGCCGAAAACGGCCAAAAACAGUCAAUCCGAGGUGGAUCGCCGCCGUGAGCUGUCGCUGGAGCACGGCGGAGCCGCUGUGCCGAAAUUCUAAAAUUGGUUGAGUAGGUCCUGGGUCUGAUUUUUGGGUUAUUUGGGACAUGUGUAGGUACCGUAAGCGCGUUUCUCUUCCCGUGGAAAAAAUUCAGGGAACCCAGGAACCGCACGUAAGCGCACUGACAAUCUAGUUUGAUAUUAUUCUCUGUCGAUUCCUGUUUGAUUUAUUUUACAGUUUAAAUGCAUUAUGAUAUAUGUUUUAUCUAUUCUAUGGUUUUAAAUGCAUGUAUCACUGCUUACUUCACUACUGUUUGAUUUUGGAAUUUACAAUAUGA
rnacentral:lncRNA from 1 species